UGGAUUUGCAAUUGUGUAUCCACUACCAUUCUUUGGUAAUUUUGCUUGAGGUUAGGUUUAUGUCCUCAUUCUCUAUACAUCAUUUUCUUGAACUUUGUUAAAUUCUGGAAGAUAAGUAAACAUGGUAAUAAAGGAAAUCAAGUAAUAGAUUGUCUUGUAAGAGAAUGGGCAGACAUGAGGCACACACACUAAAUUUCCAGUGUUUCCGAGGGUCUGAUAAAAAAUGCAGGUGUUACAUCCAUGAUGAAAAAUCUUUAUAAUUUUGAAGAAAGACCAUAAUUGUUCAAGAUAUUCAUCAACCUUCUUCUACUUACCUUCAUACAUUUAUUUAGGUUCAAUUUCUGUAAUCGACACCUCAUUUGAUGACACUGGUAUUAACUUGCUUGAAGAUUUGUCAUGCGUACCUCCAGAUAAAUCAACUCAUUUGAAUAAGCAUAUGAAUCAAUGCCACUCUUUCCGGUGCAAAAUGCUGGUAUAGAAGGAGUCGAGAGAGACACACAGAUACUGCUGAGC
rnacentral:lncRNA from 1 species